rnacentral:rRNA from 1 species
UACGAAGGGGGCUAGCGUUGUUCGGAAUUACUGGGCGUAAAGCGCGUGUAGGCGGGUCUUUAAGUCAGGGGUGAAAUGCCAAGGCUCAACCUCGGAACUGCCUUUGAUACUGGAGACCUUGAGUCCGGGAGAGGUGAGUGGAAUUGCGAGUGUAGAGGUGAAAUUCGUAGAUAUUCGCAAGAACACCAGUGGCGAAGGCGGCUCACUGGCCCGGAACUGACGCUGAGACGCGAAAGCGUGGGGAGCAAACAGG